CAGAGGUCGCAAGCGUUUAAUCGGAUUUACUGGGCGUAAAGCGUGUGUAGGUGGCUGUACAAGUCGGUUGUGAAAUCCCCGGGCUCAACCUGGGAACUGCUUCCGAGACUGUGCGACUAGAGAUCGGUAGAGGGCGGUGGAAUUUCCGGUGUAGCGGUGAAAUGCGUAGAUAUCGGAAGGAACACCAAUGGCGAAGGCAGCCGCCUGGGCCUGAUCUGACACUGAGACACGAAAGCGUGGGGAUCAAACAGGAUUAGAUACCCUGGUAGUCCACGCCGUAAACGAUGGGUACUUGACGUCGGUACGCUCUGCGUAUCGGUGUCGCAGCUAACGCGAUAAGUACCCCGCCUGGGGAGUACGGCCGCAAGGUUG
rnacentral:rRNA from 1 species